UACGGAGGGGGCUAGCGUUGUUCGGAAUUACUGGGCGUAAAGCGCACGUAGGCGGCUUUGUAAGUUAGAGGUGAAAGCCCGGGGCUCAACUCCGGAACUGCCUUUAAGACUGCAUCGCUUGAAUUGUGGAGAGGUAAGUGGAAUUCCGAGUGUAGAGGUGAAAUUCGUAGAUAUUCGGAAGAACACCAGUGGCGAAGGCGACUUACUGGUCCAGCACCGACGUUCAGGCACGAAAGCGUGGGGAGCAAACAGG
rnacentral:rRNA from 1 species